rnacentral:rRNA from 1 species
GGGCCCGCACAAGCGGUGGAGUAUGUGGUUUAAUUCGAUGCAACGCGGAGAACCUUACCUGGGCUUGACAUCCAACGCUAUCCAUAGAGAUAUGGAGUUUGAUAGUAAUAUCGACGUUGAGACAGGUGGUGCAUGGUUGUCGUCAGCUCGUGUCGUGAGAUGUUCGGUUAAGUCCGGCAACGAGCGCAACCCUUGCCUCUAGUGUGCCAGCACGUAAUGGUGGGAACUUUAGAGGGACUGUCUGUGUUUACAGGAGGAAGGUGGGGAUGACGUCAAAUCAGCAUGCCCCUUAUGUCCAGGGCUACACACGUACUACAAUGGCUGGUACAACGAGGAGCGAAGCCGCGAGGUCAAGCAAAUCUCUAAAAGCCAGUCUAAGUUCGGAUUGGAGUCUGCAACUCGACUCCAUGAAGCUGGAAUCGCUAGUAAUCG